rnacentral:rRNA from 1 species
UACAGAGGGCCCAAGCGUUGUUCGGAUUCACUGGGCGUAAAGGGUGCGUAGGCGGUCGGGUAAGUCUGGCGUGAAAUCUCCAAGCCUAACUUGGAAACUGCGUUGGAUACUAUCCGGCUCGAGGAAUGGAGGGGAGACUGGAAUACUUGGUGUAGCAGUGAAAUGCGUAGAUAUCAAGUGGAACACCAGUGGCGAAGGCGAGUCUCUGGACAUUUCCUGACGCUAAGGCACGAAAGCCAGGGGAGCAAACGGG